UUAAAAUUUUAUUUCUUAAUUUGAGUGAAGUACACAAAUGCGAAAAAUAGUAAUUCUAAAACAAUAUUUUUUUUAAAUCUUAAUUAAAUGCUUGUUAUUAAAAGUUUUGCUUUUUCUAAUAAAUUUUUUAAGUUGUAAAUUAAAUUUUUUUUAUAUUUUUAAUCCGAUAUGCGGGAGGAUGAGUGGCCGCUAUGUCCGCGGUUUUAUGAAGGUGGUCAACCGAAACUCCGGCGCACAUCCUAAUUGCGACGAACCUUCGAUAAUACAAAACGGAACACACAGCUCUUGCAGUCGUGCCCGACAAAGACUCGAACCUAUCCGCGGCGCGAUUGAUGAAUACGUCGAGUUUUUAGCCCUAAAAACUAAGGAAACGGAAUAGACACUCCUAUCGAAGGUUUUCGGAGCUGACUAAGAUCACUUCUUCGAGCAGAAUAUUUUUCAACAAAGACCGUAGAAGGGGCUCUUGUGACGACUGGGCGUUGUAUGAGGCAGGACUGGCGAUGUAGAAGUCUGAGUUAAAGAAAACCAAGAGACCCGCCUGGAAAGCCUUCUGGGGAAGUGUUAGGGGUUGUCAUGAUUCCCCAAGAUUGAAUUACAUUCUCGCGAAAACACCAUAUUCAACUGGGUUAUUUUAGAAGUGCAGAUGGUAUAUGGUGGUGUAGGGAGUUGAUAAAGUUCGCUCCAGGAUGGUUAGAUUAGAACUUGGAUCUAAGGCUUGGUUACGGAUAGAACUCUCAAUACAUUUCUAAGAAUAUAAGGCAUAUUAGUCUAUCCUCGUAUUUGUUGAAAACGUUGGAGAAGCUCAUGGACUUGUACAUUAGGAAUAGAAUAAAAAGGUGUAAAUUGUUAAGGACCCAGCAUGCCUACAGCAAGGGCAUGUUUUUCGAUAUUGUUUUGCACGAUGGCUCGAGGGAUCAUUUAUGUACAAGGAAUGUAUGAUAGACACUUUUCCCGAUCUCGAGGGUGCCUUAUAACGACUUUUUUUUGGACGUAGGGGAAUGAAAUAGUGAAUCUCGAAAGAAUAACAGAGACACCCCGCAGGAUGAUGUGUUUUAUUCUCUGUUCUGAUAUGUAGUGUUUUGGAUAUUCGAAACCGUAGUCAAGCCAAUUUUUUCUUUGCUCACAUAUCGACGGAGAUAUAUGGAUGACUCCGGAAAAGGAGCGACAAUAUUAGCGCUGAGCUAGCUAACUGUACCCUGAAAGGUAAUCAAAGAGUGUAUGUCCUCACUAGAAAUUCCAUGAAGCUAUUUCAUCAUUAGUCUAGCAAGAGGAACCUUCCCCUCACAUCUGAAGGGGAACGAGUUAGAUCUCACUGUUCAAUAGCCAUUCAUGCGGUUCGGCUAAAUCGGCCAGUUGUAUAGAGGAAGUAGAACUGCAAACAAUCGAUGGGACUAUCGAUAGCAUUUAUAGUUUUAUAUUGCUUAUUUUAACCAAUGGGUGGCAUGCAGAGAUGAUAGCCUCAAAAUCAGCUUUUCGUAUUGGAUUCAGAAUGUUGCGGAAAUCUUUACAAUUAGGUAUAAAUUUCUAAUGUUGUGAAAUGCUGAAAUGCAGACGCAAUUCAAAAUUUUUCGACGCGACUGCUUUCCAAUAUUUUAAUAAGAGUUAAGAACCGUGGAAAAAUAGAAAUUGUGAACAAACCUAUAUUUUAUUUAGCAAUUGUGAUUUUACUAAAAUCAUUUUAAAAAAUAGAAUUAUGAAAUUGAAACAUAUAAUACAAACA